rnacentral:lncRNA from 1 species
UCUUCCUUCUUUCCUCUCUCCUUUCUUCCAUCCCUCCCUCCCUCUCUCUUCUUUCUUUUCUGGUCUUCAUUGUCACUGUUGACAAUGCCAGAAAGCUCUAGCAGAGUUAGCUUAAUGACAAUGAAUAUUUGUUCAAUACACACUCAAUUAAAACCAGUAGACAGAGCACACACAGAUGGAGACAAUUGUCUGUCAUUAUCAGCGCUGACAGAUUUGAACUAAUACCCUAGAAUGGAAAGUGGCCUGCCAUUUUCUAUGAAUCAAAGGCAGUGAUUCUGAUUGAGAAGGACAGUACUAAAUUAGAGACAUAAUCCAUCUAAUAAAAAAACCCAAGUCUUACAUCUUAAUUCCUAACAUGUGUCCUGAAAAGCCUUCGUUUUUGGAGUACUGAUUUAUCAUUCAACAAAUUCUUGUUCACUUUGAGGGGAAGUAGGAAGUGAGAAAGAAGUGCAUUGCAUUGAUUGUAGCCUGGGUAUCUCCAGUUCAGACACACUCAGGAUUUUAGGGAGGAAGCGCCUGGAUCUGCGCACUUAGACUUUUGAUCUAUUUGGAGCCCAGUCACAGCCUGAGCCCCAUAGUAGGUUGGUCAGAGCCAGGUACCAGGUUGUUUGCAUAGGUGUACUGCCACAUUUUAAUGAACAUUCUUUUUUUUUUUUCUCAUUUUCAGCCACCCCGAGCAUAUGGAGUUCCCAGGCUAGGGAUCAGAGCCAAGCCACAGUUGCUAUCUAAGCCUCAGGUGCAGCAGUGAGGGAUCCUUAACCCACUGUGCCAGCCUUUAUACCUGCGUCCCAGCAUUCCCAAGAUGCCGCCGAUCCUAUUGCACCACAGCAGGAACUCCUGCACAUUCAUUUUUGCUACAACUGAGUAUGUAUCCUAUUUUAGGAAGUUGGGGAAUACCCUACAGGGUUGAGUGUAAUUUGUUGCAAGGCAGGAAAGACAGAGUGUGAGGCCAAGCUGGUGCCAGAAGAAUGGUGUUGACUGAGUCACAGGAGAACUUGAGUAUGAGAUGAGCACAGUUAGGGCAGCAGACAAUUUUAAUUGUACAAGAACAUGGUGCUGAUGGGCAGAUGACAGCAGGAAGAAACCAUGUGACAACUGCAGAUGUCUUUAUGCUAACGACUGGGUCGUAUUUUUUGGUUUACAGGUCUGAUAUCUUGGGUCUUUGUUUCAUUCAAGUUUGAUCCACAGUUCUAGAAUUUAAGUGUGCUGAAAAAACAAACAGACGAACAAAAAACAACCCAGACACUGCAACAAUGCUGCUAUUGCUUUCUGUCCUUUUCUCAAAUUUGUAGAACGUGUAAGGAACAGUUUAAUUUUUAUUGCAUAGCUACUGUGUGCCGGGUUGGACCAGGUGUCUUACCCAUGUUGUUUCAUUAAAUUAUCAAAAUUGUUAAGGUAGAGAUUAACAUUUCCAUUUUAUAGACCAGGAAACAUUCCCUAAUGGAAAAGUUAAUUAAUAAUUAAUGGAAAAAUGUCCAGGGGUUGAAUAAGGUGUUCAAGAUCACACAAUGAGUGAAGAUAAGUUUUAAAUCCAGAACAUUUGGAAUAUCUAUCUACCUAUAUAUCCAUCUCUGUCUCUUUUUUCUAUUUGUUUCUAUGGCUUCUGGAUUACAGGACUCAGAAUCCCUGAGACAGUCACUGGUCUGGACUCUGUUACUGUCCUCACUGCUAACUGUGUGACCUUGGAAAUACUCUUCAGGACUCAGUUUUCUAAUCAGUGAAAUUAGAGAAUCUGGACCAUUUGCCUUCUGUAACCCUUUCAUGCACUAAUCUCUGUCGACACAAAACUCAUGCCUAAGAACUUCCACUUGAAAUUCUAUUUGGGGACAAAAAAUGAGACUGACUAGAGACUUGAAUAGCACGAGUGAAAGCCUUUAGGGAGAAGAGGUCAUGGCUUCGAGACGUUUGAACUAGCCAAGUUUCCCUGGAGUAUAAAGUGGAUGAGUGGAAAAGGGGAAAGUUCCAUUAGGACUAACUUCUGCCGAGACAGUGUUGGACUGCAGUAAAAUAACUAGGGUGGGGUGUUGGAAUUACAGAUAACUGCAUUUGAAUCCUGAUUUGAUCAAUUAUUAGUUACAUAACCUGACCACAAGUCUGAGGCUCAGUUGUCUGCUCUGUACCUUGGGAGCUCUUGUGAGAAUGAAUUGAAUUCGUGGGAGUGAACCACCUAGCAUGUGGCAGAGAACCUGUUUGGUACUUAACAAGGGCCAGCUUUCUCCUCUUCUCUCCCAUAGGUGUGACCCUGGCACAAACGUUGCAAAAUAAAACCUGAGCCAGUCUGUACCAAACUCCCUAGGUGGCAUCUCUGGACCAUCAGAUAAUUCUAGGAAGAUCAGAAUUGCACACAAGACUCUAGACUAAUUCCGUUCCCACCUCCUGUUCAAGAAGCACCGCAUCAUCCCUUUUCCUGGUCUUUCUAUUUUCUAGCAGCCCCUGAGUAAUCUCUUUUGCAUUUUCGAGGGACGUGUGAUGUGUGUGGACACAGAGUCCUGGCCACACACCAUGGACAUUUGCUUUGCCUUCUCCCUCAUUCUCCCACCAUCUCUCCCGAGGAAGCCUUAAUCGGAGCUGUUGCCAAGUGAUGAGGUCUCCCCAUUCUUUCCAGCAGCUGCUAUUUAUGUAUGGUGUCUGGUGGUGUUUUAACACCUGGUUCAAUAUUUACCUGUGAGGGCUUCACUUUACUCUGACCUGAGUCAGAGAAUGGAGUUGUCCAGCUAAUGCUACCUUGGGGAUUUCUAGAAGUAUCCCCAGAGCUGACUGCUCAGCAUUCACUCAUCUUCCCAGAAAUGUUCUUCUAGGUAGCAGGUCCUAAAUGAAGUCUGCUGCUGCCGUCUUUCCCUGGACUCUUGAAUCUGUGAACGCUAGGAACAUGGUGAAUUAAUUCAAAGGAGCAUAUCCCAAGUGUGUGGAUAACUGAAAGUUAGAAACAAGGGGAUGGAAUGUUUUAUUUUCCCUGCUAUACUCUCUUAUGAGUGAAGAGAAGAAAUAAAACAAAGUCUUAAUUCUUAAUCUCUUCACCUUCAAUGCCCACUUGCCAAGUCAUAUUGGCACAGCACCUACCAACAAAUAAAGUGCUUUCAGCAAUCCCACGUAUCAGCACAGGGCUGGUGUUAUUCUCCCCAUUUAUAGAUGGAAAAUGUAAGUCUAGACGGUUGGGUAACUUGUCAACCCAUUUCCAGUGCUUUGUAGAAAGACGUGGGACGCAAUUAAGCAAAAUAAUACACAUGUGCAAAGAAACACAUGUCAUCACUUAACAACCAGAUGUUGUGAUAGGACUGUUACUAUCAACCCAUUUUACAGGUGCGAAAACAUGGCUAACGAUCCUGUCUUCAUUUGUCCAGUUAUGUCGAAUACUUUUCAGAAUGAGGGAGGGGAUGCAAGCGUACGCUGUUAAAAUAAAAUGAUUGUGGUAGGACGUUAUGUCAUGGACUUGGGGGCAUGGACAUGGGUUCAGACAAGCCUGUCUUUGAAUCCUUGUUCCCCUAUGGAAGUAAUUUAACUCUUCUGGUUUUCAUCUGAGUUGUUCACCACUCUGCAGCUUGGCUUCCUAGUUUUUUAAGUGGGAAUGAAUAAUUUCUAAUUAGCACUGUUUCAGGACCUGAAGUCAAGAUUGUGUCUGGCAUGCGGCAGAGACUCAGCGCUGGCUCACACAAGGAAGAUGUGUUGUCAGUGUUUACAGUUCCAGAGAGGUGCUCACACCAUUAUGGUUUAUCUCUCUUUUUGGCUGAGCCUCUGGGAGUUGAGAGGAGAGAGAAACUGGCUUGAAGCAAACCUCCUCUGCACAUACAGAGUCCUGGCUUGCUGGCCAGGUCUGCGUCCUCUGUAAUUACAAUGACAUCUCAAUAUGUUCUCAUGGCUCAAGGAGUCUUGCUUGUAUCACAUUUGCAUUUGAAAGUUACAGCUCCGGAACCAUAAAUUCUGAGCAGUCAGUUGGUCUCCAGGUAACUUGAUGCCAUUCAGGGCAAAGAGCUUGCCUUCAAAAUGCUGCCAGGAAGAUUCACUUUUUAUAGCACUUUUUAUAGGAAUUCCCGUGGAGGAAAAUUCUCAGGAGAAGAAUUUGGCCUCCUGGCUUGAAGCACAUCUGGUUCUUUGAGUUGUCAAAGAGUAAGUAGUCCAUAACAAUGGAGAAAAUGAGCUAAAUGUGAAAUUGGAGCCGGACAAAGUCAGGAGCAAUUCAAAUUGCAGACAGCUUUGUUUAUCUUUCAAAACAUCCUGCUGGUUCAUAAAUUAGGUUGAGAUUCCUUAAAUUAAUCAAAAUGAAAAAACCAGUGGUGUCCCAAUAGAGCUAUGUGGAUAUAAUUAAUUCUCUUUAUUCAGAAGUGACUUACCCAUUUGUGGAUUUUCCAGGAUCUUGCUUUUCCUUCUUACAUCCAAUGGUUUACCUUCUGGUCAGUUCUCUGCUUAACACUAUCUUCUGUAAUGUGUGGACAGAGGGGGCAGAAGGGUCCCGGGAAGUGAACUGUCUGUAUAAGCUAAUACCUUAGAAUCAGCAUUAGGUGGGCACUUCGGAUAUGUUUACUAGAUGAAGGAAAUCUGCUACUUAGGAGCAGUUCUGGAUUAAUUGGGUUCUGGCAUUGCCAUGAAGUGUGUUAAUCCAUUUAAUUCUCAUUCCCCACGAAGGUAGCUGAUUGAGCCAUCCGAAGUCGUAAUUAGAGGUUUUCCUUUGGGCUCCAGGGCCUCUUUGUAUUUCUAGGAUAGCCCCUGGGUUAGAGAAAAUAUUCAGAUUUGGAAUUUUGUGAUCGUUCAGUUGUGACCAGAGCAGUAGAAAUAGCCAGUUGUCCUUGUCAGAAGAAGUUUCUGGUGGCCGUGAACUCUUAAAUAACAGUGCACAUUGUGUGUCUCCCUUUGGCAAAUACCACAUGCCUUGUGUAGCACUGCUUUGGAUAAAGUCUCAUCUCCCCAGCUAACUAGACUGCAGUGCAGGUACCCUGAGGACACCUCUCCUCUUGGUAAUUUCCAGGGGAGCCCAGUAAGACUAUCCUCUCAGCCACAUUUGUAAUUUAUCAUCAUUCCAGUGGUCACCUUAAUUAAAAUCAAAACAGAUGAAAUUCAUUAAGGAAUAUAUUUUCUUAAGCCAAUACAUCCAAAUGGUUAUCUUUGUAAGAGGUUAGGGAUUUAAGAAACUAUUUAGAAAUGUCUCCCAUUAAAAAAACCAUGCCAGGUCUUCCACAUCUCAUAUGUGUUUCAGUUCAGACAAGCCCGGUCUCAAGGGCUCAAGGACCCCAUGUGGCUACUGGCUCUCUUACAAGACAGCCCAACUAGAGAACACACACUGUGGGAGAUUAUGGAGUGUGCUGUUGGCAGACCAGGGAUCCUGGGGGUUCAAAUCCCAGCUCUUCUGAUUUUCUAAGCCUCAAUUUCUAGCUUCAGGAGUCAGAGAAAUAAUGGGAAUACUUGGCACAUGGUAUGUAUCUGAGAGACAUUUGUUAACAGAAUCAAAGUCUUUUUCAUAGAGGGUUGUGAAAGGGUUGAAUGAGAUAACAUAAAGCCCCAAACACGGUUUAUAGCACGUGGAAUCUCUUGAUAAAAAUUAGCAAUUACUGUUAGUAAGAUAGAGAGUCUAGACACUAAAAUGUAUGCAAUAGACAUUUCCGCCUGAUGUCUGCUAGCCAGAUAUUUAACCAUCCUUUACACGUUAUAGAGGGUCUCUGUGAAGCCUUCAUCCCUUCCAACCAAAUCCAUAUGAAUCUUUUCAUCCUCUGUUGUCUCACACAACUUGAUUCAUACUUUUAAAAUUCCUUAUCAUGGAAUGUCCAUCGUGGCUCAGCAGUAACAAACCCAAUGAUUGUCCAUGAGGACACAGGUUCGAUCCCUGGCCUUGCUCAGUGGGUUGAGAAUCCGGUGUUGCUGUGACCUGUGGUGUAGGUCACAGAAGUGUCUUGAAUCUGGCUUUGCUGUGCCUGUGGUGUAUGCCAGCAGCUACAGCUCCAAUUUGACCCCUAGUCUGGCAACUUUCAUAUGCUGUGGGUGCAGCCCUAAAACAAAACAAAACAAAU